GAUUUGUGCUGAUCACAGCCUCCCCAUCACUGGGUCCGGCAGCGUCCGGGCGCGGGAGGGGGGGUGCGUAGGUGGAUUGAAGGCGGUCUCGGCCGCACGCGUGAGGUGAAUGGUAGGCCAGUUGACGGCAGGACGGGG
rnacentral:rRNA from 1 species